CCUUGGAUAUGCCAUCAUAAAUCUGAUGUCCAUGGAUAGUUCAAUUUUGGAUCUUGUCCAUACUUUUUUUCUUGAUCUAUAAAUUUUUUAUCAUGCGAAUCAACGUGUAAAAAAAAUAGACUACUAUGGUUAGUAAUAUUUUAAGUUUAGAAAAAAAAAGUUUGUACCUAAAUUUUUUUUCAUCAAGUAUGAGGGGAAUGUAACGGAACGUUACUUAAUGGAAAUAUUUUUAUUAAAAUCAUUAAUAAUUUAAUCGUUAUAAAAUGCUACUUUUCUAUCUGGCAACAUCGCCAACGCCGCAUAUUAGUUCCACGAGUAGCCACUGCCGCAAGUACCAAGUACUGUCAAAAUUUUUAAAAGUUUACUGUUAGCUAAAUCGUCAAAGAAGAAAGACUUAAUUUCCAAGUGGUCGACAGCUGUUUGAAAACAAAAAAAAAGAAAUCUGAUUUUAGUUAUUAUUUUAAUGGAAAAUAUGUGAAAUUAGUUGAAGGAGGAAAAAGUGUUGUUUUAGUUAUUUGUUUCAAGAAGAAAAGUAUAUUAAUUUGGUAGAAUUUGGACUAUCGCUGUCGGCCACUUGGAAUCACUUACAUAUUUUCACCCCAAGAACAUCAGGGGAUGAAGGAUAAAUCAGGGGAUCUAGCAGCAGUCACUGGGUAUUACAGGAUGGAAUCAUCUUUUUGAGUUUGGUUUUCAAUCAUUAGUUAUCAUUUUUUUGGACAUUGGGAAAGGACAUUACGUUAAUUGGUGUUGGAUAGUGGACAGUUGUUUAAGUAUUUUUUUUAUUAUUAUUAUCAAGAACAUUAAUUUUUCUCCUAAUUGGGACAUUAAAUAUUUAUUAAAAAUAGCAUAUUAAAUAAGUUUACAUUAUACUCCACUUGUUAUAUUUACAUAUUUUUUUUCAUACCAAAAACAAAAGAAACAAUUUAAAUAUUUUCAAUUUUUUAAUAAUAAAUAAUACUUCCUCUUCAAGGCUUAAAAUUUGCAUAUUUUCUUUAAUCAAUUUAUUUCUUUUGUUUAUCUUCUCAACUGUAAGGUAAUUGAGCUCAACUAUCCGGAGAAAAUUUGGUAAUUUUUUUAUAUUAUAAUUAAUGAACCUUGGCUUUCGUCCCCCUCAGGGUAAUUGACCAUUUAACUUGUUUUUAUUAUUGUAACCGCACAUGAAGUUAGAGUUUUACCUCGAGUAGUGUGUCGGUUCAUUUUUGUACCAUAAAUUGGAUUUGAGAUUUCAAACCAAUUUUUAGGGGGGACUUUGUUCCUAUUUUGUUUAAACUACUCUGUAGACUGUAAAUUGUACAUACUUUAUUAGUAAAAUAUUUUUUAUUAAUUUUAGGGUAUACCUUGUUGGUACAUAUACGAAUUUUUUGUACAUAUAAGUAAAAGCUAAAUACACUAUUGAUUGGGUUGUAUAA